AGUACUUGUGUUUGUUUUUUCUUAACUUGUGGGCAAAGACCACAUAUAGGUGCAGAAAACAAACCCUCUUUUGCAAACCAGAACUCAUUGUUUGGUAUGAGUUUUGAUACAUAGAAGAAGGAACAUG